rnacentral:rRNA from 1 species
UACGUAGGGUGCAAGCGUUGUCCGGAAUUAUUGGGCGUAAAGAGCUCGUAGGCGGUUUGUCGCGUCUGCUGUGAAAACCCGAGGCUCAACCUCGGGCCUGCAGUGGGUACGGGCAGACUAGAGUGCGGUAGGGGAGAUUGGAAUUCCUGGUGUAGCGGUGGAAUGCGCAGAUAUCAGGAGGAACACCAAUGGCGAAGGCAGAUCUCUGGGCCGUAAGCUGACGCUGAGGAGCGAAAGCGUGGGGGAGCGAACAGG